rnacentral:misc_RNA from 1 species
GAUGAAGAACGUAGCGAAAUGCGAUAAGUAAUGUGAAUUGCAGAACUCAGUGAAUCAUCGAAUCUUUGAACGCACAUUGUGCCCCCUGGUAUUCCGGGGGGCAUGCCUGUCCGAGCGUCAUUGCUGCCCUCAAGCACGGCUUGUGUGUUGGGCCUCCGUCCUCCUCCCGGGGGACGGGCCCGAAAGGCAGCGGCGGCACCGCGUCCGGUCCUCGAGCGUAUGGGGCUUCGUCACCCGCUCUUGUAGGCCCGGCCGGCGCUUGCCGACACAUCAAUCUUUUUUCCAGGUUGACCUCGGAUCAGGUAGGGAUACCCGCUGAACUUAAGCAUAUCAAUAAGCGGAGGA